AUUGAACGCUGGCGGCAGGCCUAACACAUGCAAGUCGAACGGUAACAAGAAGCAGCUUGCUGCUUCGCUGACGAGUGGCGGACGGGUGAGUAAUGUCUGGGAAGCUGCCUGAUGGAGGGGGAUAACUACUGGAAACGGUAGCUAAUACCGCAUAAUGUCGCAAGACCAAAGAGGGGGACCUUCGGGCCUCUUGCCAUCGGAUGUGCCCAGAUGGGAUUAGCUUGUUGGUGGGGUAACGGCUCACCAAGGCGACGAUCCCUAGCUGGUCUGAGAGGAUGACCAGCCACACUGGAACUGAGACACGGUCCAGACUCCUACGGGAGGCAGCAGUGGGGAAUAUUGCACAAUGGGCGCAAGCCUGAUGCAGCCAUGCCGCGUGUAUGAAGAAGGCCUUCGGGUUGUAAAGUACUUUCAGCGGGGAGGAAGGGAGUAAAGUUAAUACCUUUGCUCAUUGACGUUACCCGCAGAAGAAGCACCGGCUAACUCCGUG
rnacentral:rRNA from 1 species